rnacentral:tRNA from 1 species
GAUAAAGAAAGGAAUUAAACCAAUAUGUACAGGACUACAGCCUGCCGCCUAACACUCGGCCACUUUACC